CGUGGCCUCUCACAACGAGUCCUCGGUGCUCCACGCCGCCCACAGGAUUGAGGAGCUUUCCCUCCCCCGCUCCGGAGGCUCCGUUUGCUUCGCGCAGCUCCUGGGGAUGGGAGAGCACAUUUCAUUGGCUCUGGGUGAGUGUGGGUUCCAGGUGUACAAGUCGGUGCCGGUGGGACCCCCC